rnacentral:rRNA from 1 species
UACGGGGGGAGCAAGCGUUGUUCGGAUUUACUGGGCGUAAAGGGCGCGUAGGCGGCUAGACACAAGUCAGUUGUGAAAUCUCCGGGCUUAACUCGGAAAGGUCAACUGAUACUGUGCGACUAGAGUGCAGAAGGGGCAACUGGAAUUCUCGGUGUAGCGGUGAAAUGCGUAGAUAUCGAGAGGAACACCUGCGGCGAAGGCGGGUUGCUGGGCUGACACUGACGCUGAGGCGCGAAAGCGUGGGGAGCGAACAGG